rnacentral:rRNA from 1 species
AUUGAACGCUGGCGGCAGGCCUAACACAUGCAAGUCGAACGGUAACAGGAAGCAGCUUGCUGCUUUGCUGACGAGUGGCGGACGGGUGAGUAAUGUCUGGGAAACUGCCCGAUGGAGGGGGAUAACUACUGGAAACGGUAGCUAAUACCGCAUAACGUCGCAAGACCAAAGAGGGUGACUUUAGGGCCUUUUGCCUUCGACUUUGCCAGGCUGGCAUAGGGAAGUAGGUGGGGUAACGGCUAACCGAGCCCCAAUUCCCUGGCGGGUCUGAGGGGUGAACCAGCCACACUGGAACUAGGAAACGGUCCAGCCUCCUACGGAAGGCAGAAGUGGGGAAUAUUGCACAUUGGGCGAAGGCCUAAUGCAGCCAUGCGGGGGGGAUGAAGAAGGCCUUCGGGUUGUAAAGUACUUUCUGCGGGGAGAAAGGGAGUAAAGUUAAUACCUUUGCUCAUGGACGUUACCAGAAGAAGAAGCACCGGCUAACUCCGU